rnacentral:rRNA from 1 species
UACGUAGGGGGCUAGCGUUGUCCGGAAUCAUUGGGCGUAAAGAGCGUGUAGGCGGUCCGGUAAGUCCGCUGUGAAAGUCGGGGGCUCAACCCUCGAAUGCCGGUGGAUACUGUCGGGCUAGAGUGCAGAAGAGGCGAGUGGAAUUCCUGGUGUAGCGGUGAAAUGCGCAGAUAUCAGGAGGAACGCCGGUGGCGAAAGCGGCCUGCUGGACCUCUUCUGACGCUGAGGCGCGAAAGCCAGGGGAGCGAACGGG